GACGGUAGGGCGCGAGCGUUGUCCGGAUUUAUUGGGCGGUAAGAGCUCGUAGGCGGUCUGUCGCGUCGGCUGUGAAAUCCCGAGGCUCAACCUCGGGUCUGCAGUCGAUACGGGCAAACUAGAGUAUUGCAGGGGAGACUGGAAUUCCUGGUGUAGCGGUGAAAUGCGCAGAUAUCAGGAGGAACACCGGUGGCGAAGGCGGGUCUCUGGGCAAUAACUGACGCUGAGGAGCGAAAGCGUGGGGAGCGAACAGG
rnacentral:rRNA from 1 species